AUUAAAUGCGCUGAUACGUCAUUGUGCUGCUAAACACAUAACUCUGAGUGGAGUGGUGUACCGCUCCAAGAUGGCCACCCUAAAUCUUGUCAGCGAUAAUAGGCGAGAGCUGUCCAUGAGGCGUCUAUUCUUAUAUUAUGUCUAUGGGUGUAUUAGCUGGAGCGAGAAGCAUGGAAGAUCAGAGCGAGUUUGGGAGAGCAGAGCUGCAGGGGUUUCCGGUCGUGAGCUGAGGGAUAAGAGAAACACAAAACCGAUUGUAUGCCUUAUGAACUGCGGAAUUGGCCAGGUUCGAUGGCGAGCUGAAGAUUCAGGUCUAAGACCC